rnacentral:rRNA from 1 species
AACCAGCUCUUCAAGUGGUCGGGAUAAUUAUUGGGCUUAAAGUGUCCGUAGCCGGUUUAGUAAGUUCCUGGUAAAAGCGGGUAGCUUAACUAUCUAUAUGCUAGGAAUACUGCUAUACUAGAGGGCGGGAGAGGUCUGAGGUACUACAGGGGUAGGGGUGAAAUCUUAUAAUCCUUGUAGGACCACCAGUGGCGAAGGCGUCAGACUGGAACGCGCCUGACGGUGAGGGACGAAAGCCAGGGGAGCGAACCGGAUUAGAUACCCGGGUAGUCCUGGCUGUAAACGAUGCAUACUAGGUGAUGGCACGGCCAUGAGCCGUGUCAGUGCCGUAGGGAAACCGUUAAGUGUGCCGCCUGGGAAGUACGGUCGCAAGGCUAAAACUUAAGGAAUUGGCGGGGGAGCACCACAAGGGGUGAAGCCUGCGGUUC